AUGGCCGCCGCCGCCACUUCCAUGGCCCGCAGGUGCUCUCCCCUGCCUCCUCAUCUCCCACCGCCUCGCCUCCCCCGGGUCCAUCCCGCGCACCCCGGUGUCGACGAAGGAGAUGCUGCACCCCGUGGCCGUCGCCUCCUCGUAGCUCCUCUUCCGCGGCGUCAGGGGCGCCAGGGGCAUGGCGCGGCGGCCGGGGGCCGACGGGUACUCCCCCACGCGGGGCGGCGGCGGGGCCGGGACCGGGCGCCCACGGAGAUGGCGCCGCUGUUCCCGGGCUGCGACUACGAGCACUGGCUGAUCGUCAUGGACAAUCUCGGCGGCGAGGGUGACUCUAAGCACCAGAUGAUCGACUGCUACAUCCACACCCUCGCCAAGGUCCUCGGAAGCAGCAAGGAGGAGGCCAAGAGGAAGAUUUACAACGUCUCAUGCCAGCGCUACUUCGGGUUCGGGUGCGAGAUUGACGAGGAGACGGCCAUCAAGCUUGAAUGUUUUCGUGUUAUCCACAUGGAUUCCUGGUGUUCUCUUUGUGCUCCCUGA
rnacentral:rRNA from 1 species